AGACCCGAAACCCGGUGAUCUAGCCAUGGGCAGGUUGAAGGUUGGGUAACACUAACUGGAGGACCGAACCGACUAAUGUUGAAAAAUUAGCGGAUGACCUGUGGCUGGGGGUGAAAGGCCAAUCAAACCGGGAGAUAGCUGGUUCUCCCCGAAAGCUAUUUAGGUAGCGCCUCGUGAAUUCAUCUCCGGGGGUAGAGCACUGUUUCGGCUAGGGGGCCAUCCCGGCUUACCAACCCGAUGCAAACUGCGAAUACCGGAGAAUGUUAUCACGGGAGACACACGGCGGGUGCUAACGUCCGUCGUGAAGAGGGAAACAACCCAGACCGCCAGCUAAGGUCCCAAAGUCAUGGUUAAGUGGGAAACGAUGUGGGAAGGCCCAGACAGCCAGGAUGUUGGCUUAGAAGCAGCCAUCAUUUAAAGAAAGCGUAAUAGCUCACUGGUCGAGUCGGCCUGCGCGGAAGAUGUAACGGGGCUAAACCAUGCACCGAAGCUGCGGCAGCGACGCUGAUGCGUUGUUGGGUAGGGGAGCGUUCUGUAAGCCUGCGAAGGUGGCCUGUGAGGGUUGCUGGAGGUAUCAGAAGUGCG
rnacentral:rRNA from 1 species